rnacentral:rRNA from 1 species
CCUUCGGGUGCGUUAUUGGGCGGCGAGCGGCGGACGGGUGAGUAAUGCCUGGGAAUAUGCCUUAGUGUGGGGGAUAACUAUUGGAAACGAUAGCUAAUACCGCAUAAUGCCUACGGGCCAAAGAGGGGGACCUUCGGGCCUCUCGCGCUGAGAUUAGCCCAGGUGGGAUUAGCUAGUUGGUGGGGUAACGGCUCACCAAGGCGACGAUCCCUAGCUGGUCUGAGAGGAUGAUCAGCCACACUGGAACUGAGACACGGUCCAGACUCCUACGGGAGGCAGCAGUGGGGAAUAUUGCACAAUGGGGGAAACCCUGAUGCAGCCAUGCCGCGUGUAUGAAGAAGGCCUUCGGGUUGUAAAGUACUUUCAGUCGUGAGGAAGGGUGUGUAGUUAACAGCUGCAUACCUUGACGUUAGCGACAGAAGAAGCACCGGCUAACUCCGUGCCAGCAGCCGCGGUAAUACGGAGGGUGCGAGCGUUAAUCGGAAUUACUGGGCGUAAAGCGCAUGCAGGCGGUCUGUUAAGCAAGAUGUGAAAGCCCGGGGCUCAACCUCGGAACAGCAUUUUGAACUGGCAGACUAGAGUCUUGUAGAGGGGGGUAGAAUUUCAGGUGUAGCGGUGAAAUGCGUA